UACGUAGGGUGCAAGCGUUAAUCGGAAUUACUGGGCGUAAAGCGUGCGCAGGCGGUGAUGUAAGACAGGUGUGAAAUCCCCGGGCUUAACCUGGGAACUGCAUUUGUGACUGCAUCGCUGGAGUGCGGCAGAGGGGGAUGGAAUUCCGCGUGUAGCAGUGAAAUGCGUAGAUAUGCGGAGGAACACCGAUGGCGAAGGCAAUCCCCUGGGCCUGCACUGACGCUCAUGCACGAAAGCGUGGGGGAGCGAACAGGAU
rnacentral:rRNA from 1 species